UUUUUUUUUUUUUUUUUUUCGAAACAGGGUUUCUCUAUAUAGCCCUGGCUGUCCUGAACUCACUUUGUAGACCAGGCUGGCCUCAAACUCAGAAAUCCUCAUGUCUCUGCCUCCCAAGUGCUGGGAUUAAAGGUGUGUGCUACCACGUCCGGCAAAAACUGACUGUGUUAUGUUAAGUCAGUGUUUUCAUUUUGUGGUUUGAUUGUCUGUUGUUCUGUGUUUCAUGUUCAAAAGAAAAAAACAAAAACAAAAACAAAAACAAAAACAAACGGCUAAAACUUUAUCUGCUGGUCUUUCAGCCCUUGAUUCUUGAUUUAGUUUUAACUCAUUUCAAAAAUAAAAGAAAAAGAAAAAAUAAAUAAAAAACGGUCUCAAUUAGCAUUUGGAGCCCUGCACCUGUAGGUAGGAGUCUAGCACUGCUGGAGAAGCCCUGGUAGGAGCUGAUUGUCUCUAAAAGCCACUCUAAGAGGGGCCAGCAGCUCCUCAAAUUCUGUGGUAAGGGAACUGAUGGCUGUUUCUCCUACAAUAAUCUCUAUGCUUGUGAUUAUUGGAUUCAGCACACAACAAGGUGCUCCUCUCUUUAAAUUACAGCUAUAAAAAUUAAGAAUUUUGUCUGGUUUAAAUAAGUAAAUGUAUGCAGCCACUUCAUUUUUGUUUCUGAUUGGUUUUAAAAAUAUAAAUGUUAUUGGGUUUGAUUAAGAAAUUGUAAUGUUGGUAACAGAAAGUUGGCUUAAAACUGUUAACUCCGAGUUGGUUGUUGGGAGCUAUUAAGACAACACAAUUGUCCUGAUCUCUGAAUUGGGCCUCUCCCCACCGAGAAGAAAAGGGGGUCAAAAGCGGGCCACCGACACACCACUCCGAGAACAACCACAGAUUGUUCCAGCCCUAAGUCAGCUCCAGAUGUCCUGACCUCAAGAUACCGCCAAGUUCCUGCUUCCCUGUGUAACUGCCUAAAGAAUGUGUAAUUCUAUUGCCCCAUCCCUCCUGCUGAGAAGUACUUCCUCUUUUUCUGCUGCCCCAUCCCUCUUGCUGAAGUGCAUUUCCUCUGCCCCAUUCCUCCUGCUGAAAGGCACUUCCCCUUUUGCUUGUGCAUUUAAACCUCGGACCUGGCUAAUACAUUUGGGGCUUUGAUGCAAUUC
rnacentral:lncRNA from 1 species